ensembl:lncRNA
GUUCCUUACGGCCAUUCAUGAGUUGCUUUCCGCUGAGCCUGCAGGGGAACAACAUCUGCCUGCCUGUGAAGAGCACUGAGGCAAUGUCAGCAGGAUUGACACAUGAUUGUAAUCCAUAAAAUACAAAUCGCAUAUAAAGACGAUUUCCUAGCCAUCAAUGACUGAUAUAGAAGACUAUGGCAACUCCAGAGUUAUCUUGCUGCAGAAUCAUAGCUCCAUCAUAGCUCCGUUUGUUAUAAUUGAAUCAAAAUAGGGUUUUCUGGAGGAGUACAGAACCUGAGCAGAAAGAGGCCAGAGUCAGAGCAACUCUACCUGCUGGAUGACAUCAGGUGUCCAGAGUAGGGCAAACAAGAGCCUGACAUGCCACAAGGCUGCCGGACCCUCCAGGAUCUGUGAUGGCCAUGCUUCUCUUCGAGCCAUGGAGAAAGGCUUAAAUCCUAUAUCCUCAAAACGCCAACAACCAAGGCUGAGUGAGAUCUUUGUCCAGGUGCAAGCACUGAAGCAAAGGAUACCAAGUCCCAGGUCCCAGCCUGUCUCAAGCUCACCCGUGGUCCUACUUCCCACCACCUCCCUGCCUACCCAGCAAGGAUUCUCAGGAGUCUGCUUAUCCACAUCCACCCCAAGACUGAAGCCACUGUCACCUUGAUGGGGACUUGGCCCAGGCAGUACUGGCGUUGGGCUUGUGCACCCUGUGAAGUGAAUCAUGGAGGGACCCCCAGGUACCUAGG